UAUUUCUCUAAAAAAGUGAAUAUUUAGUAUAGAGGAUUCUACCAAAAGAUAUACAAUUUAUUAACAGUAUAGCUUUGAAUAGAAAUCAUAAUUAUAUAGGCUUCUAAAAAUUAAUUCAGGACUCUGUCAGCAGGGGACGUGUCUAUCCAUCACAUGCCCCCCCCCCCUGCUGUUUCUAUAGAGCUAUUUCAUCACGUGAUCCAUUUCAUCCAUCCGCCCACGCAUGGUGUACUGUUCAACACAGGCAGGUGUAGCAAAUACGGCAUUUAGCUAUCGUGCAGAUGCAGCAUCUAUCUUCAUACGCUGCAACUCUGGGAUUGGAGGCUAUAAAGCGAUACAAAGAGAAAAUAGCAGUGAUUGGUGGUCUAGAUCCAUUUUCAGCAGCCCUUGGAAAGCCAGUAGAUCAUGUUCCACCACUAGAGGCAAGUGAUAUUGUCUCUUACUUGAUCCUGCAGACUAGUUUCAUCACAUCUAAACAAUUCAAAGCCAGAAAAUCGCUUGAAGCAUACAAUCAGUUUGUUUGUGGAUGGGUCAAGGAUGUCAGUACCUGGACAGUGUGUGGAUCAUACCUCACAGUUGGCCGUGUUCGACAUUCUCAGCGCUUAAACGAUACUCCUUUGGCAUGUUGGAUCAUACUUGAUUUGACAGGUGCUGUGUCUUGUGCUCACUGUAAUUGUAUGGCUGGCCUUGGAGAGGUUUGUACGCAUAUAGCGGCAGUACUGUUUUAUCUGGAAGCUGCUUACAGGAUUAAAGGAAAGGAAACGUGUACGCAAACCAAGUGUGAAUGGCUUUUGCCAUCUUUUUUGAAGAAGAUAGAAUACAAACCCGUCAGGCACAUUGACUUCACUUCUACAAAUAGUAAAAAAAGAAAAUUGGACGAAAUGAUCGAUUCCUCCUCUACUUCUAAACAGCAACAAUCUGAUAAUCAUCCUGCUACUAGCACAGAGCAAAAGGUAUACACAAAUAUCCCUGA